UAACUCCAGUAUUCUAGCUCAUGUCUUAAAAGGGCCCUUCUGUAACUCCAGUCAUUUCUUUGCAGAUUUCUCAUUUUGGUGGUCGGCCUACAGGUUUGGGCUGCAUAUUUCACAAAUGUCUUUUUGGUCUUUUUGCUGGCUCUGCCAUGAUGAACAUCUUGAUUCAGACACUACUGGGACGCUAGUGCAGAUCUGGC